GGUUGUGGAGUAGUCCUCUGA
rnacentral:piRNA from 1 species